rnacentral:tRNA from 1 species
AAUGAGAUGCCUGAUAAAAGGAUUAUCUUGAUAGGGUAAAUAAUGUAAAAAGAAUUACUCUCAUUA